AGUUAUUUAGCUUAAAAGUUUAAAGCAUGUAUUUUGAAAAUACAAGAAAGAUUAGAUUUAAUAACUU
rnacentral:tRNA from 1 species